GGGUGCGAUCAUACCAACAUUAAUGCACCUGAUCCCAUCAGAACUCCGCAGUUAAGCGUGCUCUGGCCAGAGUAGUACUGGGAUGGGUGACCUCCCGGGAAGUCCUGGUGUUGCACCUU
rfam:Picea glauca, whole genome shotgun sequence.